CCCAGGGCAGAUUUGGGCAGGCAGGAAAUGAUCCAUAGCCAGCUCACGCAUACGAUCAAUCAAUAUGAAACCGCGAGCCAAAAUCAUGCUCAACCAACCCAGUCCCCGGUGCCUGAUCAGACCGACAGAGCCUUUGACUGCAGCAUUGAGUCACCGCUGGCACAUGAAUAUACGACUCUGGCCAACCUGUGUUGUGAAGGUGACGGCUCACCUGUCGAUAGAGACUUUCUGACAGACAAGGGCUGUUACGGCCUUCCUGGCAAUCCUACCGUCAGCCCUGUUCAGAGUGACUCGGGCAUGUCCUCAUCGCACAGCGAUGUGUUGUCCGAGGAGAGUAAAACGGAAAAUGUGUCUGUGAGCCUCGCUCAGUCAUCUUUGAUUAGUGAGCACAGUCAGGCUAGGGAUGACGCAUUGCCCAGGGAUGUGUUUGAAAGUGCAGUUAGCUCAUGCACUGCGUCCAGGGGAGAUGAUGAGAGGGAGAUCACAGGAGACAGCCAUGAAAUUACAUAUCCUGAACAGCCGUUCGGUUCAGAAGGGAAUUGUUCCGUUGAAAUGAAGCCCGCGUCUGCUGUAUUGCAGGCUGGCAUAGGUGAUACAGGAUGCAUUCAAGCAGGUGCCGAUUCUAACAACAGGUUGGAGUCGGAUUUCAUUGCUGCAGAUGUAGUCGAAUUUGGCAGGGAUAUUGGCAGUACAAUUUCCUUAGAGGAACAGCACGGCCAAAGUUUGACCAUGACUAAUGAUGGCAUGCCGGUCUGUUUGUCUACUGAUCCAGAUACCAUAGAAACACAUAUGAUUGGACUCAGCGACACGACAAUGAAAAUAGACUGCUGUUCAAACAAAACCAUAAGUGCAGACAUCCACUCUGACCGUCUCCCUAAUGAUAAGCAAACAGGUUCACAAAUGGUCAUUUCAGCAGAUGGAAAUAGAUGCGGCGAUUAUACUUUUGCACAGAGUCCCGCUUCAUUUUCUGGUGGUUUAUCAGACUCGCCUGCCUUCUCAGACAAAGCUUAUCUUUCUGAUGUUGUGAGGCGUAUUCAUGAC
ensembl:lncRNA